GACCUCCUCUUCCCCUCUCCUGGAAAGAGCAGCUGCUGGCCCACCUCCUCUUUAAGGAACUGCCCUUUUUCUGCACCUUCUGGUCUUGACCAUGCUGCUAAACCAGAUGAUUCCAGCCCCAUCCUAGGGGAGGGCACAUAACUCAAGUUGGACCAAUCAAAUUCUUUUACCUGGAAAUGUGAAAGGUUCAAAAAGGCAACUGGAGCUAUAGCAUCAGUGUCUCAUUUUCCAGCAAUCUAGCCUGAUCUUAUUCACAUGCACCUGGGCAGAGUUCCAGGAGAGGGAAUGGAAGCACACGGGGCUUGCUGAGACCUGGGCUCACGCUUCAACAUCAUCAUCUCCACUGUAUGCUAUUGGCCAAAGCAAGUCACAGGACCAGCCUGGAUUGAAGAGAGUGGGAACUAAUAUCUACUCCUCGAUGGGAUGAGCUGCAAAGUCACAAGGUGAAGGGAGUGGAUACAAGAGUGGAAAUGUGUGGUCACAUCUGCAAACUACCAUGGCUUUGUUGUUCAGUUUCCUGUUGGUCUUCCAAUGCCUUUCUUUUUAAAUAAAGGUACUAUACAUCA